AAGUCGUAACAAGGUAACCGUAGGUGAACCUGCGGUUGGAUUAUUAUUAAAUGAUAGCCAGUUCUCUCUGUUUCGGCAGAAUUUGAGCAGGCAUUAACCCUUUGUAAACUGUUAUUUUACUUGGUAGGUUCAAUCUUAUCAAGUUCCUACCGCCAUUUAAACCAACCCCUUAUAUGAUUAUCUGAAAUUGCGUUAAUGAGAAACAACUUUUGACAAUGGAUCUCUUGGCUCUU
rnacentral:misc_RNA from 1 species